rnacentral:rRNA from 1 species
AGGGUUCGAUUCUGGCUCAGGAUGAACGCUGGCGGCGUGCUUAACACAUGCAAGUCGAACGGGAUCCAUCAGGCUUUGCUUGGUGGUGAGAGUGGCGAACGGGUGAGUAAUGCGUGACCGACCUGCCCCAUACACCGGAAUAGCUCCUGGAAACGGGUGGUAAUGCCGGAUGCUCCAGUUGGAUGCAUGUCCUUCUGGGAAAGAUUCAUCGGUAUGGGAUGGGGUCGCGUCCUAUCAGCUUGAUGGCGGGGUAACGGCCCACCAUGGCUUCGACGGGUAGCCGGCCUGAGAGGGCGACCGGCCACAUUGGGACUGAGAUACGGCCCAGACUCCUACGGGAGGCAGCAGUGGGGAAUAUUGCACAAUGGGCGCAAGCCUGAUGCAGCGACGCCGCGUGAGGGAUGGAGGCCUUCGGGUUGUAAACCUCUUUUAUCGGGGAGCAAGCGAGAGUGAGUUUACCCGUUGAAUAAGCACCGGCUAACUACGUGCCAGCAGCCGCGGUAAUACGUAGGGUGCAAGCGUUAUCCGGAAUUAUUGGGCGUAAAGGGCUCGUAGGCGGUUCGUCGCGUCCGGUGUGAAAGUCCAUCGCUUAACGGUGGAUCCGCGCCGGGUACGGGCGGGCUUGAGUGCGGUAGGGGAGACUGGAAUUCCCGGUGUAACGGUGGAAUGUGUAGAUAUCGGGAAGAACACCAAUGGCGAAGGCAGGUCUCUGGGCCGUUACUGACGCUGAGGAGCGAAAGCGUGGGGAGCGAACAGGAUUAGAUACCCUGGUAGUCCACGCCGUAAACGGUGGAUGCUGGAUGUGGGGACCAUUCCACGGUCUCCGUGUCGGAGCCAACGCGUUAAGCAUCCCGCCUGGGGAGUACGGCCGCAAGGCUAAAACUCAAAGAAAUUGACGGGGGCCCGCACAAGCGGCGGAGCAUGCGGAUUAAUUCGAUGCAACGCGAAGAACCUUACCAAGGCUUGACAUGUGCCGGUCGGCUCCGGAGACGGGGUUUCCUCCUUGUGGGGCCGGUUCACAGGUGGUGCAUGGUUGUCGUCAGCUCGUGUCGUGAGAUGUUGGGUUAAGUCCC